AGAGAGAGACAUGCGCGCAUAUCAAUAAGCGGAGGAAAAGAAACUAACAAGGAUUCCCUUAGUAACGGCGAGUGAAGCGGGAAGAGCUCAAAUUUGAAAUCUUCAAGGUUUUACCUUGACGAAUUGUAGUUUAAAGAAGUGUUUUCUGCUGAAGUUUUGGUAAAAGUUCUUUGGGAAUAGGACAUCAUAGAGGGUGAGAAUCCCGUAUUUGACCAUUAUUUUCAGCUUUGUGAUACACUUUCAAAGAGUCGGAUUGUUUGGGAAUGCAGUCCAAAAUGGGUGGUAAAUUUCAUCUAAAGCUAAAUAUUGGCGAGAGACCGAUAGCGAACAAGUACCGUGAGGGAAAGAUGAAAAGAACUUUGAAAAGAGAGUUAAACAGUACGUGAAAUUGUCAAAAGGGAAGCGUUUGACACCAGUGUUGUUUUCUCGAAAAUCAAUUAAAAAUGGCUCGAUUUUGUAUUGCUUGAGACCUUAAAAGCUCACUGUACAUUUUUCGUGUCUUUUUUGAUGCACUUUUCGUUUAACAAGUCAACAUCAGUUUCUUUUGUUGUAAAAGGGUCAUUGGAAGGUGGCUUUCUUUUCGGAGAAAGUGUUUAUAGCCUUUGGCCUCUGCAAUCGGAGAGACUGAGGUCUGCAGCGUAGACUCUUCGGGGUUAGAUACAUUUGUGCUAAGUUAUAGCUUUUUAUAGACAACUUGUUGACUAUAAUUAGUCUUGUAGCUUACUCGCUUAUGCUAUUUUACCUACGCUUAGGAUGUUGAAGAUGUAGCACAUCAU
rnacentral:rRNA from 1 species